rnacentral:rRNA from 1 species
UAUGUGAUCGUCUCUCGCAUAUCAAUAAGCGGAGGAAAAGAAACUAACAAGGAUUCCCUUAGUAACGGCGAGUGAAGCGGGAAGAGCUCAAAUUUGAAAUCUUCAAGGUUUUACCUUGACGAAUUGUAGUUUAAAGAAGUGUUUUCUGUUGAAGUUUUGGUAAAAGUUCUUUGGAAUAGGACAUCAUAGAGGGUGAGAAUCCCGUAUUUGACCAUUAUUUUCAGCUGUGUGAUACACUUUCAAAGAGUCGGAUUGUUUGGGAAUGCAGUCCAAAAUGGGUGGUAAAUUUCAUCUAAAGCUAAAUAUUGGCGAGAGACCGAUAGCGAACAAGUACCGUGAGGGAAAGAUGAAAAGAACUUUGAAAAGAGAGUUAAACAGUACGUGAAAUUGUCAAAAGGGAAGCGUUUGACACCAGUGUUGUUUUCUCGAAAAUCAAUUAAAAAGAGUUUAGAUUUUGUUGUGUAUUGACCUUAACAGCUUGCAUUUCAAUUUUCUUGCUUUUUUUAAUGCACUUUUCGUUUAACAAGUCAACAUCAGUUUCUUUUGUUGUAAAAAGGUCAUUGGAAGGUGGCUUUCUUUUCGGAGAAAGUGUUUAUAGCCUUUGACUCCUGCAAUCGGAGAGACUGAGGUCUGCAGCGUAGAUCCUUCGGGGUUAGAUACAUUUGUGCUAAGUUAUAGCUUUUUAUAGACAACUUGUUGACUAUGAUUAGUCUUGUAGCUUACUCGCUUAUGCUAUUUUACCUACGCUUAGGAUGUUGAAGAUGUAGCACAUCAU